UACGGAGGGUGCAAGCGUUAAUCGGAAUUACUGGGCGUAAAGCGCACGCAGGCGGUCUUUUAAGUCAGAUGUGAAAGCCCCGAGCUCAACCUGGGAAUUGCAUCUGAAACUGGCAAGCUUGAGUCUUGUAGAGGGGGGUAGAAUUCCAUGUGUAGCGGUGAAAUGCGUAGAGAUCUGGAGGAAUACCGGCGGCGAAGGCGGCCCCCUGGACGAAGACUGACGCUCAGGUGCGAAAGCGUGGGGAGCAAACGGG
rnacentral:rRNA from 1 species